rnacentral:tRNA from 1 species
GAGGGGUUGGUGUAAAGGUAACACAGCGGUCUUCGGAACCGUCGUUGCGGGUUCAACUCCUGCACCCCUUG